UCUCUUGGAUGAGUUGCGAACGGGUGAGUAACGCGUAGGUAACCUGCCUUGUAGCGGGGGAUAACUAUUGGAAACGAUAGCUAAUACCGCAUAACAAUGGAUGACACAUGUCAUUUAUUUGAAAGGGGCAAUUGCUCCACUACAAGAUGGACCUGCGUUGUAUUAGCUAGUAGGUGAGGUAAUGGCUCACCUAGGCGACGAUACAUAGCCGACCUGAGAGGGUGAUCGGCCACACUGGGACUGAGACACGGCCCAGACUCC
rnacentral:rRNA from 1 species